ensembl:lncRNA
UUUAGAGGCCCAAGAACAUUUUUGCAGUAUAUUUUGCUACAUAAUCUAGUCACCUAAUUUCCCUUUAAUGACAUGGAAGCUACAAUUUGGGGAGAAAAAAAACUCUACAAUUCAGCUCUUCCAUCUAUGAGGAUGUGUGAGUAGCUUUUGUCCAGUGAAAAGAACCUUUGUUUGAAGGAACUUCUGUGAAGAGUGCCACUACAGAGAAAGUCAGGCACUAGUGAUGCAGAGGGAUCUGGCAGUGCUGGAAGAUCUAUGGACUGGGACACACAGUGCAUGAGUCUAUUUGAAACUGUUUGAUAAGUUACUCUGCUCACAGAACAAUUUGCUAAACCUGCUGCAUAUAUACAUGUUUGUUUAACAGCUCAGCGCUCUGCUUUUACUGUUGUAAAUGGAUCGUUCCAUCCAGAAGAUGGCGCUGUCUGCAUUUACUUCCAAAUUACUUACCACAAAAAAAAAAUUCUAUCCAAUUCAACCUUGAGUGUGGUAAGUUAUUGAGGGUACCUUUCUAAUAGAAGCUGUUAAUACAGCCUUGCUCCCGAGGCUUUCAAUUUACAAAUAAUUUUCAUAACAUUUCCACAUGAGAGCUUCUCUAGUCAUCUUAUAUUAAUAUAGCCUAGUAUGUUAAAGCAAUCUCACUUUUUGACCACUGGACCAUACAGAUUAGAUUAAAAAAAAAAAAAAAAAAAAACCUAACAUUUUAUUUAAUGUUGUAACUGCAAGUUGACUUUCUAACAGGAAUAUCUAUAAAUUUCUCUGUCAUACUAAUUCUUUAUGGAAGAUGAGGGAUCUUUGCAAUAUAUAUUAUAUGUAACUCUGUAAAGAUGCAUAUGCAUGCAAGUAUUGUUUCUGAUAUAAUUUAUGAACUGUAAUAUUAAAACCAGCAUGAGAAAUCAUGAUUUUUAGUUCAGAAAUAAU